UACGUAGGGUGCGAGCGUUGUCCGGAAUUAUUGGGCGUAAAGGGCUCGUAGGCGGUUUGUCGCGUCGGGAGUGAAAACCAUGGGCUUAACUCAUGGCUUGCUUCCGAUACGGGCAGACUAGAGGCAUGCAGGGGAGAACGGAAUUCCUGGUGUAGUGGUGAAAUGCGCAGAUAUCAGGAGGAACACCGGUGGCGAAGGCGGUUCUCUGGGCAUGUCCUGACGCUGAGGAGCGAAAGCGUGGGGAGCGAACAGG
rnacentral:rRNA from 1 species